UACGUAGGGUGCGAGCGUUGUCCGGAAUUAUUGGGCGUAAAGGGCUCGUAGGCGGUUUGUCGCGUCGGGAGUGAAAUCCACUGGCUUAACUGGUGGCUUGCUUUCGAUACGGGCAGACUGGAGGUAUGCAGGGGAGAACGGAAUUCCUGGUGUAGCGGUGAAAUGCGCAGAUAUCAGGAGGAACACCGGUGGCGAAGGCAGGUCUCUGGGCCAUUACUGACACUGAGAAGCGAAAGCAUGGGGAGCGAACAGG
rnacentral:rRNA from 1 species